rnacentral:rRNA from 1 species
CGCAUCACUGGUGUUCGGGUUGUCAUGCCAAUGGCACUGCCCGGUAGCUAAAUGCGGAAGAGAUAAGUGCUGAAAGCAUCUAAGCACGAAACUUGCCCCGAGAUGAGUUCUCCCUGACCCUUUAAGGGUCCUGAAGGAACGUUGAAGACGACGACGUUGAUAGGCCGGGUGUGUAAGCGCAGCGAUGCGUUGAGCUAACCGGUACUAAUGAACCGUGAGGCUUAACCUUAC